rnacentral:rRNA from 1 species
GUGCUUGCACUAGAUGAAACUAGAUACAAGCGAGCGGCGGACGGGUGAGUAACACGUGGGUAACCUGCCCAAGAGACUGGGAUAACACCUGGAAACAGAUGCUAAUACCGGAUAACAACACUAGACGCAUGUCUAGAGUUUGAAAGAUGGUUCUGCUAUCACUCUUGGAUGGACCUGCGGUGCAUUAGCUAGUUGGUAAGGUAACGGCUUACCAAGGCAAUGAUGCAUAGCCGAGCUGAGAGACUGAUCGGCCACAUUGGGACUGAGACACGGCCCAAACUCCUACGGGAGGCAGCAGUAGGGAAUCUUCCACAAUGGACGAAAGUCUGAUGGAGCAACGCCGCGUGAGUGAAGAAGGGUUUCGGCUCGUAAAGCUCUGUUGGUAGUGAAGAAAGAUAGAGGUAGUAACUGGCCUUUAUUUGACGGUAAUUACUUAGAAAGUCACGGCUAACUACGUGCCAGCAGCCGCGGUAAUACGUAGGUGGCAAGCGUUGUCCGGAUUUAUUGGGCGUAAAGCGAGUGCAGGCGGUUCAAUAAGUCUGAUGUGAAAGCCUUCGGCUCAACCGGAGAAUUGCAUCAGAAACUGUUGAACUUGAGUGCAGAAGAGGAGAGUGGAACUCCAUGUGUAGCGGUGGACUGCGUAGAUAUAUGGAAGAACACCAGUGGCGAAGGCGGCUCUCUGGUCUGCAACUGACGCUGAGGCUCGAAAGCAUGGGUAGCGAACAGGAUUAGAUACCCUGGUAGU